UACGUAGGGUGCGAGCGUUAAUCGGAAUUACUGAGCGUAAAGCGUGCGCAGGCGGUUCUAUAAGACAGAUGUGAAAUCCCCGGGCUCAACCUGGGAAUGGCAUUUGUGACUGUAGGGCUAGAGUACGGUAGAGGGGGGAUGGAAUUCCGCGUGUAGCAGUGAAAUGCGUAGAGAUCCGGAGGAACACCGACGGCGCAGGCAGCGUCCUGGCCGCUUGCUGACACUGAGGCACGAAAGCUGGGGGAGCAAACAGG
rnacentral:rRNA from 1 species